GACGAACGCUGGCGGCGUGCUUAACACAUGCAAGUCGAACGGAAAGGCCUGCUUUCCCUUGUGGAUUGCGGGUGCUCGAGUGGCGAACGGGUGAGUAACACGUGAGUGAUCUGCCCCCAACUUGGGUAUAAGCCUGGGAAACUGGGUCUAAUUCCCGAUAGGACUGCAGGGUGGUGCCUGUGGUGGAAAACGAUUUUCUAGUGGUUGGGGAUGAGCUCGCGGCCUAUCAGCUUGUUGGUGGGGUAAUGGCCUACCAAGGCGGCGACGGGUAGCCGGCCUGAGAGGGUGGACGGCCGCAUUGGGACUGGGAUACGGCCCAGACUCCUGCGGGAGGCAGCAGUGGGGAAUAUUACGCAAUGGGCGGAAGCCUGAUGCAGCGACGCCGCGUGGGGGAUGACGGCCUUCGGGUUGUAAACUCCUUUCGACCGCGAGGAAGCCACCUGGUUGGAAGGGUGGUGACGGUAGUGGUAGAAGAAGCACCGGCUAACUACGUG
rnacentral:rRNA from 1 species